UACAGGGGGGGCAAGCGUUGUUCGGAAUUACUGGGCGUAAAGGGCGCGUAGGCGGCCUGGUAAGUAGGGGGUGAAAUCCUGCGGCUUAACCGCAGGGCUGCCUUCUAAACUGUCAGGCUCGAGCACGGUAGAGGCAGAUGGAAUUCCCGGUGUAGCGGUGGAAUGCGUAGAGAUCGGGAAGAACAUCAGUGGCGAAGGCGGUCUGCUGGGCCGUUGCUGACGCUGAGGCGCGACAGCGUGGGGAGCAAACAGG
rnacentral:rRNA from 1 species